rnacentral:rRNA from 1 species
AUACGGAGGGUGCAAGCGUUGUUCGGAAUUACUGGGCGUAAAGCGCGUGUAGGCGGUCGGGCAAGUCGAAUGUGAAAUCCCCGGGCUCAACCCGGGAAUUGCAUCCGAAACUGCUCGGCUAGAGUCCCGGAGAGGAAGGCAGAAUUCCCAGUGUAGGGGUGAAAUCCGUAGAUAUUGGGAGGAAUACCAGUGGCGAAGGCGGCCUUCUGGACGGUGACUGACGCUGAGACGCGAAAGCGUGGGGAGCAAACAGAAUUAGAAACCCCGGUAGUCC